CUCCAGAGGAACUGUAGGUCACCAGAUUCUGCUUAAUCUUUUUAAUAUAACAUUUAUUUGUAGAGUCUGCACGCUGCUGAGAAUGACCUUUCAAUCAUUGUGGGAAGUUUUCCUGCUACAAACGCAAUCCAGAAGUUAUCAAUGCAUCUUAACCUUGAAUUUCACAUCUAGAGUUCUGGCUGCGUAAAAAAAAUCUAUCGAUGACUUCCUGGCCAUGUUUAGUCAUGAUGUCACAGUCUACCAGACCAUGGAGUCCAGAAACAUGAAUGAGAUAGAAGAAUUCCAAGCAGCCUUUUGUGGAUGCAACCAUGGUUUUAUCCAAUUAAGCAUCUCAGCCCAGAAUUUCAGCCUAUCAUCAACAAGGGUUGCCUGUAUGAAGAAUCCUAUGAAUGAUUAUUUGGCUAUAGAUUAAAUUAAGACAGCCUUGUCCAAAUUUGUUGAAACAGUUAGUCCUUGUAUUUCUUGGGCAGCUAUAAUGCAAUCAACAAGUUAUCAAGGCAUCUUAACCCUGAAUUUCACAUCUAGAGU